GCGCCAGUAGCGCAGUGGUUAACGCGUUGCACUCGUACUAAAUUAAGGACAUGCAAAGAUCGGGAGUUCGACUCUCCUCUGGCGCA